rnacentral:rRNA from 1 species
UACGUAGGGUGCAAGCGUUGUCCGGAAUUAUUGGGCGUAAAGAGCUCGUAGGCGGUUUGUCGCGUCUGCUGUGAAAACUCGGGGCUUAACUCCGGGCCUGCAGUGGGUACGGGCAGACUAGAGUGCGGUAGGGGAGACUGGAAUUCCUGGUGUAGCGGUGAAAUGCGCAGAUAUCAGGAGGAACACCGGUGGCGAAGGCGGGUCUCUGGGCCGUAACUGACGCUGAUGCGCGAAAGCGUGGGGAGCGAUCCGG